rnacentral:misc_RNA from 1 species
UGGUUCUGGCAUCGAUGAAGAACGCAGCGAAAUGCGAUAAGUAAUGUGAAUUGCAGAAUUCAGUGAAUCAUCGAAUCUUUGAACGCACAUUGCGCCCCCCGGCAUUCCGGGGGGCAUGCCUGUCCGAGCGUCACUCGCACGCCUCAAGCUCCGCUUGGUGUUGGGCCGGGUCGGCGCACGCCGGCGGGCCCCAAACCCAGUGGCGACCCCCGCCGGGCCCCGAGCGUAGUCAUCGCUCUCGCUCCGGGGCCGGGCGGGCGUCCGCCAGACAACGUCUUCUUCUGGUUGACCUCGGAUCAGGUAGGAAUACCCGCUGA